UUUCGACAUGCUCAGSAUUAGAMAGCKGGCGGCAUGGUUAAAACAUGCAAGUCGCACGACCUCUUCGGAGGGAGUGGCGAAAGGGCGAGGAAUAUAAUCGAAUGUACCCCAAGGUGAAGGAUAGCUUCUAGAAAUGGAAGGUAAUACUUCAUGUGCUCUACGGAGGAAAGGUUUACCGCCUUGGGAGCGGCGAUUAUCCUAUCAGGUAGUUGGUGAGGUAAAGGCUCACCAAGCCGAAGACGGGUAGCGGGUGUGAGAGCAUGACCCGCCGCAUCGGGACUGAGACACUGCCCGGACUCCUACGGGAGGCUGCAGUAACGAAUCUUCCGCAAUGGGCGAAAGCCUGACGGAGCAAUGCCGCGUGUAGGAUUAAGCAUCUUCGAUGUGUAAACUACUGUCAAUGUCUAGAAACAAUGAUCAGACAUAAAGGAAGGACCGGCUAAUUCAGUGCCAGCAGCCGCGGUAAUACUGAAGGUCCAAGCGUUAAUCGGAAUCACUGGGCUUAAAGCGUACGCAGGCGGACUUGUAGGUAUUUUGUGAAAUCCCACGGCUUAACCGUGGAACUGCAGAGUAAACCACAAGUCUUGAGACAAGUAGGGGUCAGUGGAACCAUGAGUGGAGCGGUGAAAUGCGUAGAUAUUCAUGGGAACGCCAAUGGCGAAGGCAACUGACUGGGCUUGUUCUGACGCUCAGGUACGAAAGCGUGGGUAGCGAACGGGAUUAGAUACCCCGGUAGUCCACGCCGUAAACGAUGCACACUAGGUCGCGGAGCCUCUCAUGGUCUCGCGGCCGAAGGUAAACUGAUUAGUGUGCCGCCCUGGGGGAGUACGGGUCGCAAKSKAAAACUCAAAAGAAAUGCUCUGG
rnacentral:rRNA from 1 species